rnacentral:rRNA from 1 species
GAUGAACGCUAGCUACAGGCUUAACACAUGCAAGUCGAGGUACCGGCGCACGGGUGAGUAACACGUAUCCAACCUGCCCUUUACUCGGGGAUAGCUUUUCGAAAGAAAGAUUAAUACACGAUGUAACGGAUGGGGAUGCGGUCCAUUAGGUUGUUGGGGAGGUAACGGCUGACCAAGCCUUCGAUGGAUAGGGGUUCUGAGAGGAAGGUCCCCGACAUUGGAACUGAGACACGGUCCAAACGCCUACGGGAGGAAGCAGUGAGGAAUAUUGGUCAAUGGGCGUUAGCCUGAACCAGCCAAGUAGCGUGAAGGAUGAAGGCUUAUGGGUCGUAAACUUCUUUUAUAUAAGAAUAUGUAUUAUAUGAAUAAGGAUCGGCUAACUCCGUGCCAGCAGCCGCGGUAAUUC